GACGAACGCUGGCGGCGUGCUUAACACAUGCAAGUCGAACGAAGAGCGACGGAAGCUUGCUUCUAUCAAUCUUAGUGGCGAACGGGUGAGUAACGCGUAAUCAACCUGCCCUUCAGAGGGGGACAACAGUUGGAAACGACUGCUAAUACCGCAUACGAUCUAACCUCGGCAUCGAGGAUAGAUGAAAGGUGGCCUCUACAUGUAAGCUAUCACUGAAGGAGGGGAGUGCGGCUGAUUAGCUAGUUGGAGGGGUAACGGCGCACCAAGGCGAUGAUCAGUAGCCGGUCUGAGAGGAUGAACAGCCACAUUGGGACUGAGACACGGCCCAGACUCCUACGGGAGGCAGCAGUGGGGAAUCUUCCGCAAGGGACGGAAGUCUGACGGAGCAACGCCGCGUGAGUGAUGACGGCCUUCGGGUUGGAAAGCUCUGUUAAUCGGGACGAAAGGCCUUCUUGCGAAUAGUGAGAAGGAUUGACGGUACCGGAAGAGAAAGCCACGGCUAACUACGUG
rnacentral:rRNA from 1 species